UUCUACUUCAAAAGUUAAUUUGUACGUUGGAAAAACUUAUCUAGUUACUGUAAGUAAGCCUAACAGAAAACCUCAAACGAAUUACGGAAAAAACAGAUUUUAUUAGAUUUGUUUACACAGGCAAGCUGGUUUAAACGAAUGAUACGGCAAAAUCAAUAAAGUUCCUGGAAGAUUGAACAUUUAAAUAAAAUUGGAGUAAGCUACAGUUAAAAAGGCGCGAGGAAAAGCAAAAAGAAGGAAGAUUAGGUGUGAGCACGAGGGUAGAAAAAGAAACUACUUUUUUGAGCUGAUCAUACAAAUAGACUGCUUCAAAAUUACUUCCUGAAUCCGCAACAAACUCAAAAAAGUAAUGAGUCAGACGGAUCUAACCUCAAAUCACUCUAAUCAGGAGGAGCUGGAUCUUACGCUUACGCCCUGUGCGGCCUGUAAAACUACCUCAACGGAGAAUGAGCCAAUGGUAGGAUGCGAUUCGUGUGAUAACUGGUUUCACUAUCGAUGUGUGAAUGUGACGGAAGCCCUUAAAAAGAAAAAACGGUGGUUCUGCAAGGAGACCGCUUGCCAAGAGGCGGCCAAAAAGUAUCAGAAAAAAACAGAUACCAAGAAAAUGAAGUCAGAAACGGUGCUCACACUGGAGAACAGAAGUUAAAGGCUAUGGAAGAGGAGCAUAAGAAGAGGUUGGAGGAAUUGGACAUGGAGAGGAUCCUGAAGGAAAGGGAAAUGCAGUUUAAAUUGGAGCUGAAGGAAAUACAGAUGCAUCAAGAACAGGAAUUAAAAGAGCAGGAAUUGGAUCGAGAAAAAGAUGCUGAAUCGUGCUCUAGCGGACAAAGCAAAUUAACGCCGGUGAAUGAAGUGUAUUCGUGACGAAUAUGAAGAGGAAGUAAAUAUCAUGGAUGAGAAUGCCCGAGGGCUAGGAUUGUAUUUUCCGGUAUCAGUCUCCAAUGUGAAUGCCGAAAAGCCACCAAUUACUGAAUCGUUGAAACGAAACCAAAAACCGAAGAAGCUGAAUAAACAGGAGGUCGCGUCUGCAAGUGGAAUUGCUGGAGCCGGUGAGCAAGACGAAAGUGAAGAUUCCGAGAGCGAUUUCGUGGACCAUCAAGCGGAUCAAAACGUGGAUGGAUCAUCGUCUAGUACCCCAAAGAAGAAUCGUGAACAAGUUGACAGCCAGUUUCAAAACGGGCUGGGGCAGCAGCAUGCUAGUCCAACAAAGAUGCAGCUUGCAUCUAGAAGCGGUGUGACGAA